UCAUUAAAUAGCCAUGGAGAAAAAAAAUAGAAAACAAUUGUGGAUGAAAUCUUGGCAGAGAAGAAAAAAUCAACACAGCUUACACAUCUUGCAGCACAAGCUGGAGUGUACAUCUCGAACCACAGAAGGAAAAAGUGAGGACAUCAGCUUGUUCUGACCUACCAACCAAAACCCAGUAACUAUAUUUAAUCAACAUUAAGAUCACAGUCGUUCAUGACUUGGAGGUGUCAGGGACCAGGAGAAGAGUGUGUGUGAUAUCGGCAGCUUGUAUUCAGAAAAGAAGAUAGGGUUUGAAACGACCCUGGACCUGUCUGUGGGUCACACAGAGAGGGCAGCCGCUGACGUCUCUCCUU